CAGCUUUGAGCAAACAACAACUCCAAUGAUGUUAGGUUCAUCUGUGAAAGUGUCUUUGGAUGCUUUGCUUGAGGAGAAUGCUACAUGCAAGUAAGUAUACAUCUUUCAGCAUUCUUCUGGUGACACAGCUGGAGAUAAAUUUAUACUCUUUUAACUUGUCCAAAAGUUAUCUUUACCUGUUUGCUACAAUGACAAAUGAUUGGCUCAUGGAUAACACUGGGAGGAGAUGUGGACUGCAAAGCAAGAUUACAUACUAUGUUGCAGCUUUGAGCAAACAAGAAGUCCAGUGAUGUUUGGUGCAUCUGUCAAAGUGUCUUUGGAUGCUUUGCUUGAGGGGUAUGCUACAUGCAACUACAUAUCAUACAGUCUUGGUUUGGUGACAGUUGAGAUGAAUUUAAUAUCUUUUGACUUGCCCAAAAGCCACCUUUAAUUAUGGGCAAGUAAAACAAUGUAAAUUUUGUGGAUUGUGUGAGGGUCAUCUUCCUUUUUCCAUAA
rnacentral:lncRNA from 1 species